rnacentral:rRNA from 1 species
CUGCCCUUUGUACACACCCGCCCGUCGCUACUACCGAUUGAAUGGCUCAGUGAGGCGUCCGGACUGGCCCAGAGAGGUGGGCAACUACCACUCAGGGCCGGAAAGCUCUCCAAACUCGGUCAUUUAGAGGAAGUAAAAGUCGUAACAAGGUCUCCGUUGGUGAACCAGCGGAGGGAUCAUUACCGAGUUUACAACUCCCAAACCCCUGUGAACAUACCACUUGUUGCCUCGGCGGAUCAGCCCGCUCCCGGUAAAACGGGACGGCCCGCCAGAGGACCCCUAAACUCUGUUUCUAUAUGUAACUUCUGAGUAAAACCAUAAAUAAAUCAAAACUUUCAACAACGGAUCUCUUGGUUCUGGCAUCGAUGAAGAACGCAGCAAAAUGCGAUAAGUAAUGUGAAUUGCAGAAUUCAGUGAAUCAUCGAAUCUUUGAACGCACAUUGCGCCCGCCAGUAUUCUGGCGGGCAUGCCUGUUCGAGCGUCAUUUCAACCCUCAAGCCCUCGGGUUUGGUGUUGGGGAUCGGCGAGCCCUUGCGGCAAGCCGGCCCCGAAAUCUAGUGGCGGUCUCGCUGCAGCCUCCAUUGCGUAGUAGUAAAACCCUCGCAACUGGAACGCGGCGCGGCCAAGCCGUUAAACCCCCAACUUCUGAAUGUUGACCUCGGAUCAGGUAGGAAUACCCGCUGAACUUAAGCAUAUCAAUAAGCGGAGGAA